rnacentral:rRNA from 1 species
UACGUAGGCAGCGAGCGUUGUUCGGAGUUACUGGGCGUAAAGGGUGUGUAGGCGGUUGUUUAAGUUUGGUGUGAAAUCUCCCGGCUCAACUGGGAGGGUGCGCCGAAUACUGAAUGACUUCGAGUGCGGGAGAGGUGAGUGGAAUUCCUGGUGUAGCGGUGAAAUGCGUAGAUAUUGGGAGGAACACCAGUGGCGAAGGCGGCUCACUGGACCGGUACUGACGCUGAUGCGCGAAAGCGUGGGGAGCAAACGGGG